rnacentral:rRNA from 1 species
GAUGAACGCUGGCGGCGUGCCUAAUACAUGCAAGUCGAGCGAACAGACGAGGAGCUUGCUCCUCUGACGUUAGCGGCGGACGGGUGAGUAACACGUGGAUAACCUACCUAUAAGACUGGGAUAACUUUGGGAAACCGGAGCUAAUACCGGAUAAUAUAUUGAACCGCAUGGUUCAAUAGUGAAAGACGGUUUUGCUGUCACUUAUAGAUGGAUCCGCGCCGCAUUAGCUAGUUGGUAAGGUAACGGCUUACCAAGGCGACGAUGCGUAGCCGACCUGAGAGGGUGAACGGCCACACUGGAACUGAGACACGGUCCAGACUCCUACGGGAGGCAGCAGUAGGGAAUCUUCCGCAAUGGGCGAAAGCCUGACGGAGCAACGCCGCGUGAGUGAUGAAGGUCUUCGGAUCGUAAAACUCUGUUAUUAGGGAAGAACAAAUGUGUAAGUAACUAUGCACGUCUUGACGGUACCUAAUCAGAAAGCCACGGCUAACUACGUG